ACCGUUCAGAGUGCAGAAAGACA
rnacentral:siRNA from 1 species